AAAGCCGAAUACGCAGAGCAUACAGCGUGCCACGUCAGAUUUUUUAUUCAGGCCAAUCAGAUUCUUUUCCUUCGCCACGUCAGACUCACGGUUUUUCUCUGUCUAAAGUCGAUUAAUAUUUCGCGGGCUUCGUUAUUACGCUUUGGGCUUUAUGUGAUUUCACUUUGGGCUUCGGGGUGUUUUGUGUUUGCGACAAAAAUCAGAUCCGAUCUCGAAGGAUGACGAUUCUCCUCACCCUCAUCACUUCGUUUUCUCGGAUCGAAGAGCAACGAGUCGUAGAAUCAAUCGAUUCAAUCCUCCGCAAUCAAUACUUUCAUUUCAAAUCCCUGCAAUUCAUGCGUGCAUUCAGCUUCACACCGUCGUGGUCGUUAUUUUGCUCCGUCACCUGAACCUCCACGAUUCUUCUUCUCUGUCACCGGAGUCCGUAGUUCGAGUCAUCGUGGUCUCAAUCUCGCUCCCGAGCUUCUCCUCCAUCGCCAUGGCUUAGGUUCAGUCUGCUACUUUCCACCAUGAGAGCGCCGGUUCAAGCUUCACCAUCGUGCUCAGCCUUCGCCGUCGUCGGGAUCAGUGACCCUGUUGCGGAUCGGAAUGAGGAAGAACGACAAUGGUGAUUUCAGCACUAUUUGCAAGUCUGGUCCUUCACAUUUCCAUUGCUUUCACUUCUGCCCCCGGACUUUUGAUAUUACAUAAAUAACCCCAAAUCAACCUCCGUACUUUUGAUUGUGCAUGUCUAUGUUUACAGGUGCAGAAAAAGCUCUAAGGUGGUCUUCUUCCGCUUGAAGUUCAGACAUUAAGCCAACAGAGUAAAUAAACUGAAGCAAGGUACCAGAAGAGCAAGGAUUGCAACAAAAAAAGUCAACGCCUUGCUUCAGCUUUCCUCCCAACAAUUGGCUGUCGUAUACAAGCUGUAAUCUCACAUUAUUAUUUUUUUCUUCGUCAAGCAAUCUAGCAUUGUUUAUGACAAAAAAAUUGUGAAGAUUUUUUGGCAUCACUGUUCAAGACAAGGAGGGCAUAAAGAAAUCGUAUGGCAUAACUCAUGGGGUCUCAAUACCAGAUUGAUGGAUGAGGGAUGGAAUGUUGCGAGUUCAGGUUCAUGCUAACUGCCGUCUCAGAAGGAUUUAUUUUGCUGAACGUCUCUACUCAGAUGAAGAGCUUCCUCCGGAGUUCAAACUCUAUCUCCCAGUGCAGAAAGCAUGAGUGUGUUUCUGCCGUUGUCUUGGAAACUACUUUAGAUAGACCUAAAGCAUCUUAGGUGGGAGGUUCAGGAUGGCUUGUAGCAUCCAUGGUAUUAGGAAUUUGCCAUCAAAGCCGAGAACACAAUUAUAGAAAUGUACCUUAGAUUACAUACAGAAAGGAUAUUUUACUGGCCAAUGACCCGCUUGGCGCCGUCUAAGGUGUUUCUGAGCAGCAUUGCCACUGUCAUUAGGCCUACACCACCAGGGACACCAUUAGAAGCUUCUGAAAAAUCAACAUCACCAACCAACCGGUAUCCUGAUUUCAUAUAAAAUUUUGAUUAUAGAAUUUCUAUAAUAUUCUCAAUCAAAAAUAUAAGAAUAAUAAUAAAUUUUUGGGUUCUAAUUCUCUUAAAUUUGAUUGACAGAAAUAGUUUAAAUUUUUAAUAUUUAUCUGAAGAUUUUUAUUUUUAUAAUCAGUACCAUCAUAUAUGUAUACACUCAAAUAAAAAUAGAAAAUCCCUAUGCUUUGUUAUCA